GGGACACGUGGUAUCCUGUCUGAAUAUGGGGGGACCAUCCUCCAAGGCUAAAUACUCCUGACUGACCGAUAGUGAACCAGUACCGUGAGGGAAAGGCGAAAAGAACCCCGGCGAGGGGAGUGAAAAAGAACCUGAAACCGUGUACGUACAAGCAGUGGGAGCACGCUUAGGCGUGUGACUGCGUACCUUUUGUAUAAUGGGUCAGCGACUUAUAUUCUGUAGCAAGGUUAACCGAAUAGGGGAGCCGAAGGGAAACCGAGUCUUAACUGGGCGUUAAGUUGCAGGGUAUAGACCCGAAACCCGGUGAUCUAGCCAUGGGCAGGUUGAAGGUUGGGUAACACUAACUGGAGGACCGAACCGACUAAUGUUGAAAAAUUAGCGGAUGACUUGUGGCUGGGGGUGAAAGGCCAAUCAAACCGGGAGAUAGCUGGUUCUCCCCGAAAGCUAUUUAGGUAGCGCCUCGUGAAUUCAUCUCCGGGGGUAGAGCACUGUUUCGGCAAGGGGGUCAUCCCGACUUACCAACCCGAUGCAAACUGCGAAUACCGGAGAAUGUUAUCACGGGAGACACACGGCGGGUGCUAACGUCCGUCGUGAAGAGGGAAACAACCCAGACCGCCAGCUAAGGUCCCAAAGUCAUGGUUAAGUGGGAAACGAUGUGGGAAGGCCCAGACAGCCAGGAUGUUGGCUUAGAAGCAGCCAUCAUUUAAAGAAAGCGUAAUAGCUCACUGGUCGAGUCGGCCUGCGCGGAAGAUGUAACGGGGCUAAACCAUGCACCGAAGCUGCGGCAGCGACACUAUGUGUUGUUGGGUAGGGGAGCGUUCUGUAAGCCUGUGAAGGUGUGCUGUGAGGCAUGCUGGAGGUAUCAGAAGUGCGAAUGCUGACAUAAGUAACGAUAAAGCGGGUGAAAAGCCCGCUCGCCGGAAGACCAAGGGUUCCUGUCCAACGUUAAUCGGGGCAGGGUGAGUCGACCCCUAAGGCGAGGCCGAAAGGCGUAGUCGAUGGGAAACAGGUUAAUAUUCCUGUACUUGGUGUUACUGCGAAGGGGGGACGGAGAAGGCUAUGUUGGCCGGGCGACGGUUGUCCCGGUUUAAGCGUGUAGGCUGGUUUUCCAGGCAAAUCCGGAAAAUCAAGGCUGAGGCGUGAUGACGAGGCACUACGGUGCUGAAGCAACAAAUGCCCUGCUUCCAGGAA
rnacentral:rRNA from 1 species